AGCGCCGCAUCCUCGGGAAUGCUGGUGCGGGGUUGUUCUCCGGCUGGAUGUGUGGAAAUACACCAGCUCUGUUUCUCUGCUGUUUACAUGUGUCAUAAGGCAAAUGGCACUGCUAUUAACUGGAAAAUCUGGUCUAGCAUACAUGAUGUGCAUUUAGAGUGACAGCUCUGUACCUUGAUCUACACUUAAUGAAACCACUCUGAAUGGAGCAUCUGGUAGAACAAGUCUUCCUUAGGACAUAUGAAGAAGAAACUACAUGCUCUGAUGCCAAGCAAACUCAUGCAUGCUUUAUCACAGGCACCUGAUGAAGGAAGUGCUUUCCUGUAGCUCCUGUUUCACAGGUGAUAAAUUCUGCUUGAUGCAGGUGGUAAUGAA